CAGCCGCCGCGGGAAUACGUAGGGUGCGAGCGUUAAUCGGAAUUACUGGGCGUAAAGCGUGCGCAGGCGGUUCGUUAAGACAGAUGUGAAAUCCCCGGGCUUAACCUGGGAACUGCAUUUGUGACUGACGGGCUAGAGUAUGGCAGAGGGGGGUAGAAUUCCACGUGUAGCAGUGAAAUGCGUAGAGAUGUGGAGGAAUACCGAUGGCGAAGGCAGCCCCCUGGGCCAAUACUGACGCUCAUGCACGAAAGCGUGGGGAGCAAACAGGAUUAGAUACCCGGGUAGUCCCUGUCUCUUAUAU
rnacentral:rRNA from 1 species